UAUAAAAAUCUACAUGUGAAAACCACCAAAUGGCAAGACACGAUGAAGAGGACAGCAAAUGUUUUCCUGACACUUCGUCUGAGCUCAGGAAUUGGAUUUUACCACUAUGGAUUUCCGGGGCGUUACUUCUGCUACUCAUGGUGUUAACCUGGAGGAUCAAACGCAAACACAAUGGAGCUUUGCUCACACAAGCACCCGAUGCCACUUCAAUGACAGAGGGUCAUCUCUACUAUGACACAGUGGUCUUCAAGAAAGGAAAGGAUGCC